rnacentral:rRNA from 1 species
GAUGAACGCUGGCGGCGUGCCUAAUACAUGCAAGUCGAGCGAACGGACGAGAAGCUUGCUUCUCUGAUGUUGGCGGCGGACGGGUGAGUAACACGUGGAUAACCUACCUAUAAGACUGGGAUAACUUCGGGAAACCGGAGCUAAUACCGGAUAAUAUUUUGAACCGCAUGGUUCAAAAGUGAAAGACGGUCUUGCUGUCACUUAUAGAUGGAUCCGCGCUGCAUUAGCUAGUUGGUAAGGUAACGGCUUACCAAGGCAACGAUGCAUAGCCGACCUGAGAGGGUGAUCGGCCACACUGGAACUGAGACACGGUCCAGACUCCUACGGGAGGCAGCAGUAGGGAAUCUUCCGCAAUGGGCGAAAGCCUGACGGAGCAACGCCGCGUGAGUGAUGAAGGUCUUCGGAUCGUAAAACUCUGUUAUUAGGGAAGAACAUAUGUGUAAGUAACUGUGCACAUCUUGACGGUACCUAAUCAGAAGGCCACGGCUAACUACGUG